rnacentral:rRNA from 1 species
GACAGAGGUGCCGAGCGUUAGGCGGAAUCACUGGGCUUAAAGCGUGUGUAGGCGGAUCGUUAAGUGCCUUGUGAAAUCCCACGGCUCAACCGUGGAACUGCUUGGCAUACUGGCGAUCUUGAGCCACUUAGGGGCUACCGGAACAAAUGGUGGAGCGGUGAAAUGCGCAGAUAUCAGGAGGAACACCGGUGGCGAAGGCGGGUCUCUGGGCAGUAACUGACGCUGAGGAGCGAAAGCGUGGGGAGCGAACAGG